AGUGAACGCUGGCGGCGUGCCUAAUACAUGCAAGUCGAACGGAGUGGCGCACGGGUGUGCAAUAUAUAUCUAAUCUGCCCCUUGCUGGAGGACAACAGUCAGAAAUGACUGCUAAUACCCCAUAGCACGGGAUGAGACUAUAGCGUAUCAGCUAGUCGGUGGGGUAACGGCCUACCGAGGCUAUGACGCGUCACUGUUCUGUGAGGAUGAGCAGUAACAUUGGAACGAAGACACGGUUGAGAAGCCUUCGGGAGUGAGCAGUAGGGAAUAGUGCGCAAUGGGGGAGACCCUCACGCAGCAUCGCGGCGUGGAGGAUGACACUUUUCGGAGCGUAAACUCCUUUUGUUAGCGAAGCGGUACCUAACGAAUAAGCACCGGCUAACUCCGUGCCAGCAGCCGCGGUAAUUC
rnacentral:rRNA from 1 species